AAAGAAAAGAAACAAUACAGAGAAGAUUAGUAUGGCCCCUGUAAAAGGAUGACAUCCAAAUUCAUGAAGUGUUCCAUUAAAAU
rnacentral:snRNA from 1 species